ACCACAGGUCAUUCGCUGGUCAGUCUCAACAGUGUUGUUUAUUCUGUUGUAUGUAUCCAUCCUUACUUAAAAGAAGUCAAGAAAUACAUUGUGGGUUGGGUGAGGAAGGAUAUUAAACAUUUGCACCUAUUUUUAGAGAUUUGCCACAACUGCUAGCUUUUCAGCACUUAGUGGUCAUCCAAGGAUAGUUCAAGUCAAAGGCAACUGGACUUUGUUGAAGUUACUUGAAGAUAUUUCGCCUCUCGUCCAAGAGACUUCUUCCGACUGACUGUUAGGGAAUCCCAGUCAUUUGACCACUGUGGGGUCGUCCCACUACGUCUGCAGAAGCUAAAGCGUAGCAUUUCAGUAUCAGCGCAGUAUGUGACAGACUUGUGACCUGUGUAAAUAUUAAAUGACCUCUAAAUGUGUCAUUUGAAUCUGAUGUCUUUACUUUGAUCAUAUCGUACCGAAUAAAAAAGAUCCAUUCACUAAGAAAUACAAGCCUGUCACUUAUCUGUGGAUGGUCCUCCAGGCAUGACUCUCCCAUUUCAUCCUGACCCAUUUUCAAAGUUGGCUUUGGAUGCAGCUUGUGGUCGACCCAGUUCACGUGGAUCUUAUAAAUGUGUGAUUUAUGUUGGACCCCAUGUAGACUUUGGCUGAGGUUUUGGGCUUCAUCAGGUCUUAUAGUGAGUACCUGAUUUUACUCCGUGCUGUCUGUAAAAAGCAAGAAAGAAGCAUACUACAAUGACAUUUUAACAGAUAAGCAUGUAAGCAUACUGUAACUCAAGAGUCUUGAGUGAAUUUUGAAUUUGAGUGAAUGUGUGAUGAACUGUUAUAUGAUUUUGAUCCCUAUUUAAACGUUUCACAGUGACAGCCAUAUGCUGUGAGUGCAGCUCUAGGAGAGUACCCCAAGCACGUCCAAAUGUGAGAUGAGUUGUUAGCUCCCCCCGUGAGAACCAGUCGUGUCUGUUGUGUAUCAGGGCCAUGGCUCAGAGGUUGGCUGGAAGUGCGAUGGGGACCCGCAGCCAGGAGAGAAGGUCCUGCAGGAUAUAAAGGAGAGGAGAGGGCAGGAGAGGCGGCUCCAAGUGAUCCAACAGCAGCUGGAGAUCCUGGGCCAGGGCCAAGAAAUGACUAAUGAGUCACCAGACCUUACUGAGGAGCAGUUACUUGGUCUGCUGGAUGAAUGUGAGCUGACAGAGAGCUGGAUCCAGGAUCUUGAAACGAAUGACACCACGAGACCCUAAAAAAGACUCGGAUGGGCCUAAUCCAUCUGACGCCCUGCUGUCAUAACGGCUAUCAAAAGAUGCAUUAUUGCUUGGAUGUCACUUUCAGACUAUUUGGGAGUUGUAAGAGAAAAACGAAUGAUUCUAAACUUAUUAAAUUGACUUAACUAACCUGUCUUAUAUAUAGUAACAUAAACUGAUUUUGAACAUGUUUCACAGUGUGUCUGUAAAGGAAAACCUAACUUUUGGUUAAUUGGUAAACUGAGAAUGAGAACUGUUAUUUUUGUCCUAAUUGGUCUCCAUGUUUUCAACAUGUGGCUGGAUUAUGUCCCAUUUUUUAAAUUUGUGUUUAUGGCUCUGCAUGAGGAAACAGAGCAGCAGGGCCACCCUUUGUAUUAACCUAAGUAUCAUAGAUGAGAACAGAAAAUUGGUGUCAUUAAAUCUAAUAACUGGGUACGGUGGCCGCAGAAUGUUCUAUUGCGCACAUAAACACUCAGCUGAUAGCACCGUGUCUGUGGGGUCAAGUCUGAACACUAUAUUGUAUGAACUUUAAGCCUUCUACCAUGAAAUGUCUCUGUUAAUAUUAGUAAAUGUGUGGUCAAGCAUCCAAAGUGGCUGUUAAUGAGGAUACAGGGAUGAUGUGUGCUCCACAGGGGUGAUAGUCAGAUCUAGUUCAGCUCCCAGGAUUUCUUUGAUUCUGAAAUUGGGCCCUGUUUGGAGCUGGACCUCCUUCCAGCUUAAUUUUCAUUUUAAAAUACAAGAUUCCAUUGGCAAAAGAUGGUCAGAUUUGAGAAUUAUUUUUUACUAUACUUUGGUUUGUUUGUAGAGAUGUUGCCUGUUUGGUCCCGCUUGCACAGUGUGAGUAGCCAGUCUGCACCUGGUUGACCUCAGCCCAGAGGUCCCACCUUUCCUCUCUCUGGCUCUGGACACCCACAGGCUUGUUCGUCUCACUCUUCACCUCACCCACACAUUCUGACCCCGUUUAAAGGGCAGGAAUUAUCUCACAUUCCUCUGGACUGAAAACUCGUCGGCCAGGUGAGCCUCCAAGGUCAAACUCCAAUGAACCUGCAGAACUAUACGUCGGGGAAUGUUAUCAGACAGCUCAGCACACGUCCAAAAAAGCACAUGCAAACACUGACUGAGCGCACUAGAUUAGCCUUUUUCAAAACUUAUAAUAAUUUCAUAGCUACAAAUGCAGUAUAUGUAGCAUUUAGUCCAUCUGACAAAUACCAUAUAUGUAAUUGAGACAAUAUGUUUUUAGUAGGGAAGAUAUACCACACGUUUGGGGUAAUGGAAACAGUGAGGUCAGUGUGGUAAGAAUGAGGUCACUUCUAAUGUAAAGAGACCUGCAGCAUACUGAGACUGUCUGGUUUUUCUGGCAGGACUCUCACUGGUGCCUUAGAUUACAGCUCUUUCUGGCCCUGUGAAAGAUCUCAAUUAGCAGACUGAUUUCUGUUUGCUGAUGAUAUACGGGUGCAGGGUCUUACAGCGUAACAGUCCGCAAGCUACAGACCUAGUCUAGGGAUACCUCAUCUACUUUGACAAGUUUUAUUGAACUAUAGAAUUUCAAUGCACAUUCUUACUGACAAGAGUGGACCACAGCCAUAAGGUAAGUUCAUUUGCCCAAAGAGAGUGAAUUUAUCACAGAAUGCAAACGUCCUUAUGUGUACUUCUCACAUGCAGUGUUGUCAUUUGAAUGUGUAAGGAGGUGCCUGUGUAAUGUGUUAUCAGAUCUGUAUGGAUAUGCUGUUUAAGUGGGUUAUACUUCAUAUUGAGUUUUCCUGCUGUUGACUCUCAAGGAUACUCCCUUUCUCCAAGGCUUCACUAGACUCAACUAAUAAAUUCCAGUCGCUUGACACA